rnacentral:tRNA from 1 species
GGAGUUGUAGCUCAGUGGUAGAGCACUUGCCUUGCAUGCGUGAGGCCCUGGGUUCCAUCCCCAGCACCA